AUGCGGGCAGGCGUUGGGCGCGGGGCAGGUGGACAUGCUCGGCGUCUACAUCCAGCGAUCCUGGAUCAUUUGCGGCGCCACCGACUCGUGCCGACCUAUGUCUUCACGGCGCCCAUCCUGCUGGCGCUCCACCAGCCCACUGCCAUCUCCGUCGUUGCCGGGCGGUACACGCGGUUGGCCGUCCCGCAGUUGUUCGCCUACGCCGCCAACUUCCCGCUGCAGAAGUUCUUCCAGGCGCAGAGCAAGGUCUGGGCCAUGACCUUCAUUUCCGGCGCGGGGCUCGCCCUCCACAUUGUGCUCAACUACGUCUUCGUCACACGCCUUGGCCACGGCCUCUUCGGCGCCGCCAUGAUCGGGAAUGUCACCUGGUGGAUCAUCAUCGUUGCGCAGUUCGCCUACCUAGUCUCCGGUUACUUCCCAGAGGCGUGGAAGGGGUUCUCCGUGCUCGCCUUCAAUAACCUGGCUGCCUUCGUCAAGUUGUCCCUUGCCUCCACCGUCAUGCUCUGCUUGGAGCUGUGGUACUACAGUGCAGUGCUCAUCCUUGUGGGUCUCCUCAAGAAUGCUCAACUCCAGGUUGACGUCAUGUCCAUUUGUCUGACUUUUUUUUUACAUCAACCCUUAUGGUGGCAAUAG
rnacentral:rRNA from 1 species